rnacentral:lncRNA from 1 species
CCCAGAUUUAUGUCCAUUAAUGACAUGGCUGAUACUAAUGAGGGGAGAAGAAGGGAGACAGAGGCAAAAAGUGAGAGUGGUUACAGGUACUUCAUGCCCACCUCCAAUGCAACUUGGGCCCAGGCUCUAGUUUGGACUCCAAGGACAGCAAAGUCUUGCUAGAUGCAAGAAUUCAGAAAGCUUGGAUAUCAGGCACACCCUGGUGCUAACCAUCACGUGUUAAUCUCACUUUGGAGGAAGAGAAAGACCUCAGGGACAGAGCCUUCUGCAGGCAACAUUGUGUGCCUAGAAUUAAAGAACAUCAUGUUGUUU